rnacentral:lncRNA from 1 species
UCCCCACAACUCAAGUUAAAUUGUUCUAUUGUUUAGUUGCCUUUACUUUUAAAGUUUGGCACCUUAUUCUAGCCUGAAUAUGUCUGCAGAGCUGUCCAACUGACAGCCUGUGGGCUGCAUCCAGCCUUGGCAGGGAGAGGUUAAAUUAGCGUGGCCACCGCUCUCCUCAUUGUUCCUGCUGCUGCAGUGGCUGGCCAGCCAGGGUUGUUGAGGCAGGGCACAGGGAGCUUGCAUGGCAGACACCUGUGUGUCAUGUGGCCCCCAAAGCAUGUGGCUCGCAUGGUGCAGAGCCUGGGGCACAUACAGCCCCCAGCCACUCUGCUGUUGGCUAGAGGACAAGUGUAUGACAGAGAUACUGUUAACUGUACAUAAGAACUGAAAUUGCUAUUUAAUUCUGCACAUCUGCCUGGCAUGAGCAUCUCAGCUUCUCUGCACAUCUGGCUGUUUCUGCAAGGACUUCCAGCCUCGGCAAGGGUUGCUGACACCGCAUACGUAUACAGAACACAGGGUGUUCAUUUCAGAGGAAGAACUUUAACAGCUGGAAUUGUCACAUACUGCACUUGGCACUUGACAAAGUUAAGUAAGUAUUGCCAAAGCAAAGUUCAGUACAUUUUUUUUCUCACCAUGCAGUGAAAGCUCACAGAAAAAAAACAAC